AGGGCCUCUGGAAGUCUGGUGACUGGUGGUGGCCGCUCAGUAUGGGGGCCUGGCUUUGUUUUUGCCAGGCUGGCCUUUGGGCUGUUGGGUUCUGGCUUCCCAACCCAGGUCACAGGUGAUCAUGCUGCUAGAGUCCUGAGGAGAUUCCGAAUGCUCUUGGGACUCACAACACUAUGCCAUGAACUGGAGAGUGAACAUCCCCAAAAAGCUUGCCCACCAGUAAUCCAGAUCAUCCUUGGGAAUACCAGGGUGGUGGAGGUUGGCUUCCCCAGUGGACUCACACCUCCACAGGAGCUGUUACUGGAAAGGGAGCCCAUGCAGUGCUGGUAGUAGCUGUGGGUGGCCACAAGAAAGCCACUGGAGGGGAUAGCUGCCAUGCUUUUGCUUGUGGGCUGGUGAAAACAUCAUCUGCAGUGACCUCUUGUGGGUGCAUUCAUGGUGGCAGGGACUGGGAGCUAGACCAAGGAACCCAUUUACAGAGCAGACUGCGGGAUACCACUUCUCCAGAACUGACACUGCAGGGAGGAGAUGCCCCCGGAGGAGAUUGCCUGCUUCUUGAGGUGCACACAGAGGAAAGACCACAUGAGGACGCAGGGUAAAGGCAGAAUCUACAAGCCAGGAAGAGAGGUCUUACCAGAAAUCAACCUUGAUGGCACCUUAAUCUUUGACUUCUAACCUCCAGAAUGUAAAGGAUGAGAAACCAAAGAAAAGCACUACUUCAGCUUUUACUUCAGAAG